rnacentral:rRNA from 1 species
UACGGGGGGGGCAAGCGUUGUCCGGAAUUACUGGGCGUAAAGGGCUCGUAGGCGGCCAACUAAGUCAGACGUGAAAUCCCUCGGCUUAACCGGGGAACUGCGUCUGAUACUGGAUGGCUUGAGGUUGGGAGAGGGAUGCGGAAUUCCAGGUGUAGCGGUGAAAUGCGUAGAUAUCUGGAGGAACACCGGUGGCGAAGGCGGCAUCCUGGACCAAUUCUGACGCUGAGGAACGAAAGCCAGGGGAGCAAACGGG